UGACACCAAAGCAGAGAGCGGGAGGGAAGGGACUGCGGCUCCCAGACCCUGAGAAAAUUGCAUCGGCCCCGCACUAUCGGCCCACAAAUCAGAGUUCAUUUCUCUCCUUCCAAACAGCUCAGCACAGGGGCCCGGAUGCCCAGUGACUCAUCUAAAAGCCCAGCGAGUUCGCCCAGCUUGCAGCCUCUCAAAUUGCAUUUGCAGCUCCUUAUCAGGCUGGCGAGGAAAUUAAAGCGGCCGGCUGCGGCGGUGUUGCUAAGCAGAGCGGCCACUCGCAGACAGACACCCAGGCUGCGCCUCACGGCCCAUUACAGCGUCACUCCCCACUGUGGCUAAUAAGGUUUGAAAUCGUCUAAGGAAACCUGCUGUUCUUUUUUAAGGGCCCUGGAGUCUGCGUGGGGCUCAGGCUGUGGGAUGCUCGGCUCGUUCCCAUGGCCCGGUGGGCAGACAUCUGUGUUCCUGUCAGCUUGGUUCCUGGUGGCCCAGAAGAUCAGAGCCAGAGGGCCCAGCUCCAGAGCGGCCGGCCGCGGUGGACUCAGGCGGCGCUGAGCUCCUCUGCAAUGGUGUCGAGUGCACCUGACCUCUGGGGGCUGUGUGGCCGGCGGCUGGGUGUCUGGAGCCUCGGCCUGACUCAGCUGCUCUCUGUAAGGACUCGGGGCCCUUCCCUCACCCUGGCUCCUGGGCUGGGCCGGGGCCCAGUCCGAGUCCUUCUUUCAGUGGUGUCUUUGGUCACAGCUUCUCUACAGUGCUGAGGAUUGCUUAUUUUUAAGAGGCAUAAAGGGAUUUAUUAGGCAGGACUUUAAAAGUAUACACUUUUAAAUAGAUCAGAAAGAGAUUUUGAGAGAGAGAGAAAGGCCUGGUCAUCUGGAGCUGAGUAUAUUUAUGAGAACUUUGGGGGUUCAAAGCUGUAGAAGUUGUAAGCCUGGGGGAAGAGGGGACACGGGUUACAGAUGAAAGGCUCUUUCUGCAGGGGAAGGGUGGUGGCCCAUUGGUGGUGACAGCCGUCCCAGGGGACAGCUGUACCCUGGCAUGCGUGGGGACAGGCACAUUUCAGUGGGAUGCCGGGGAUUAUUAAGACUCCUCCAGGUUGCUGGCCCACAGCACUUCCCUGAUGAGAGUGUGGGGCUUCUCAGCUCCCUGCAGGAAUCAGCCUCACCAGCGCCAGUCUGCACGACACAGAGGUGGAGGAGAAUUCUGUGUUGUGAUUGAGAUGCGACUGCGCCCUGAGAGGACAGGACUUGCAGCUACCAUGGCAUGAAAAGCUGUCCUCUGCCAGGCCCUUCCAUCAUGCUGUAUCUGCCUUGGAGCCAGCAGACCAGGGACUGAACACACCGAAACCAUGAACCAAAAUAAACCUCUCCUCCUUAAAUUGUAGGUGUUCGGUAUCAGUGACAGGAAAGUGAUUAAUACAAUGAACCUGAAUAUUGAUAUUCAAUCCUUAAGCCACCAAGAUAGCCUGUUUAGUAAAACUCUGCAAAUCUCA